UGAGGAAUAUUGGUCAAUGGGCGAGAGCCUGAACCAGCCAAGUAGCGUGCAGGAUGACGGCCCUAUGGGUUGUAAACUUCUUUUGUAGAGGGGUAAUGGCAGAUACGUGUAUUUGCGUGAAAGUACUCUACGAAUAAGCAUCGGCUAACUCCGUGCCAGCAGCCGCGGUAAUACGGGGGAUGCGAGCGUUAUCCGGAAUUAUUGGGUUUAAAGGGUGCGCAGGUGGCUAAUCAGGUCAGUGGUGAAAAGCUAUGGCUCAACCAUGGUCUUGCCAUUGAAACCGUAUAGCUAGAGAGGAGACGAGGUAGGCGGAAUGUGUGGUGUAGCGGUGAAAUGCAUAGAUAUCACACAGAACUCCGAUUGCGAAGGCAGCUUACCAGGCUUUAUCUGACACUUAGGCACGACAGCGUGGGGAUCAAACAGG
rnacentral:rRNA from 1 species